GUAGAAACCAUGUGGGUUUCUAAUUCAUUUUUGGUUUCUUCAUUAUCCUGUGACGACGAAGCUCUGCACCGAAAUGUUAUAGGUUUUUGAUAUUCAUCACGUUUCAUCUCGAUUAUCAGAAGUUGGUUAACAAUUUUUUAAUUUGUAUUUGAGAUCUAAUUAGUUAGAUCAUUGAAUUUCUCCACAAAAUUUACCAGAUCUCAGGGUGGUAACAGAAGUGACCAAACUCGCCUGGGAGUUGGAUUUUCUACAUGUAGAAUCAUGGCCAUAUACUAGCAGUUGAGAUUGUAACCAUACGUCGUGCAUACUACUUUCCAGUACACAAGUACUGAAGUAAAGCGUUACCGACUGCAGGAAGGCAUGGUUUUCUACAACAAGCAUGAAUACCGCGUCGUAUGGGUACUUUUUUUGUAGAUUUCGGAAAGAGCUUUACGAAUAUAUAAAGUUUGUGAAUUUUGGACGAGCGGUUUAAAAGAUAAAUUGUUUUUUAAUUAUUUAUACAUUAUUUCAAAUUGAUGACGUCAUUGUGGACUAAACUGUAAAUAUUUGUAUAUUUGUACAACACUGUAAAUAAUAAGGUUAUUAGUGUACUUUUUCAUAUUUUGAAUUAA